AUUGAACGCUGGCGGUAUGCUUAACACAUGCAAGUCGAACGAUGAGAAAGAGCUUGCUCUUUCGAUUAGUGGCGGACGGGUGCGUAACGCGUAGGAAUCUACCUAUUAGUGGGGGACAACUUAGGGAAACUUAAGCUAAUACCGCAUACGCCCUACGGGGGAAAGAAGGGGAUCGCAAGACCUUUUGCUAAUAGAUGAGCCUGCGUAGGAUUAGCUAGUUGGUGGGGUAAAAGCUCACCAAGGCGACGAUCCUUAACUGGUUUGGGAGAAUGAUCAGUCACACUGGAACUGAGACACGGUCCAGACUCCUACGGGAGGCAGCAUGGGGGAAUAUUGGACAAUGGGCGAAAGCCUGAUCCAGCAAUACCGCGUGUGUGAAGAAGGCCUUAGGGUUGUAAAGCACUUUCAAUUGGAAGGAAAACCUCGAAGCUAAUACCUUCGAGUUUGACAUUACCUUUAGAAGAAGCACCGGCUAACUCCGUGCCAGCCGCCGCCGUAAAAC
rnacentral:rRNA from 1 species